GGAAUAUUGGACAAUGGCCGGAAGGCUGAUCCAGCCAUGCCGCGUGACGGAAUGAGGCCCUACGGGUCGUAAACGUCUUUUAGUCGGGAGCAAUAAGGGGCACGCGUUGUCCCGAUGAGAGUACCGAUUGAAUAAGCAUCGGCUAACUCCGUGCCAGCAGCCGCGGUAAUACGGAGGAUGCGAGCGUUAUCCGGAUUUAUUGGGUUUAAAGGGUGCGUAGGCGGUCAUUUAAGCGUGAGGUGAAAAGCCCGGGCUCAACCUGGGUCGUGCCUCCCGAACUGGAUGGCUGGAAUGCGGAUGCCGUGGGAGGAAUGAGUAGUGUAGCGGUGAAAUGCAUAGAUAUUACUCAGAACACCGAUUGCGAAGGCAUCUCACGAAUCCGCAAUUGACGCUGAGGCACGAAAGCGUGGGGAUCGAACA
rnacentral:rRNA from 1 species